AUUAACAAAUUUUGCUUUGUAAACCAAAAAAUUAACUCCUUUACAUCUUUUCCAUCAAUGUUUGAUGCUAUUUUCAUUUUUUUAUGCAAUAAAUUGAGUAUCUUGAAGAAGAUUUGAUGUGAUCUGGUUUAAAAUGUGAUUAUAUUAGAUGUGAAGAUCAAAUUGAUAAAUGUUUGAUGUGUCAAGGAUAAAAUUGAUAAUGUAAAUUGCUUUAGGGCAAAAUUGAGAUUAUCACGACGCAUUAGGUAUUAAAAUGAGGUUUUUCCUUCUUUCAAUUACUACAUCCUAUAAGAUUAUGAGUCGAAAAUAAUUUUUUUUGUCUUCCAUGUGAAUUGGAGUAUUUUCGCAUGUAAUUAUGUGUUGAAGAUGAAAUUGCAGUAAAUUAUUAGAUGAUUGACAUUCAUGCUUGGUUCAGUAAAGGUUAUUUAGUGUUUUUAUUUGCAUUUCAAAAAUGUAUUUGUCAUAAAAAAAUCUUUUGUUUUCUGUUUUGUAGGAAAACUAUGAACACGCUACAGGUCUUAUGAAAUCAGUGAACUGUUUUGUACGAAAUUCCACUAUGCAGUCAAGAUAUCCAUAAAACAUUAUAGAUAAUCAGGUGCCAAGAGUAGAAGUUGCAGGCCAUCAACUAGUUAUUACUAGCCUUUGUUUUCUUAUUACAUAGCGGUGAGGCCAAAACCAAGACAGGCUUUGUACUGAGGUAAGUUCUUCCGGUUGAAGUACUGAUUGAUAAGAGACACUGCAAAAUAUAGAAGAUACAAUGUGAGGCAUGUUCAUCAGUGCUUCUUACAAUUUAGGAGAGCAAAUGGCGACAACUUAUGCAUCACGGAUGAUAAAUUUUUGGAUUUUGUCUGCUAAUAUAUUCUGUCAUCUUUAAGAUUGUGGUCUGAGUCUGACUUAUGGUAAGCAAACAUGAAAAAGGGAUUAAACAUAUAAAGUUUAGGGAUUUAGAUGGGUUUGAUGGUUCUGAACAGUUUAUUGUGAAUACAAUAUAACUGGAUGAUGUGAAAAGUCUAGCAAGCUCAUUUAUGAACUAGUAUAAUAGAGCUAAGCUCAAAAAAAGACCGAAUCAUACUAAUGAUUAGUCGGAUAGAAAAACUCGUUGUUUUUUAUAUGCCUUGUUGAAUUAGGUUCAAAUUUGGUCAUGAGAUUAUAGGGGCUUAGUUCUAUAAAGAAUAGGUUGUCCAUAACUAGCCAAUGUUGGAAAGUCCUUCAAACUAGUCUUAAAGGAUGAAACUAGUUGCAAGGAUGAUGUUCUUUGAUUCGGUUUUGUUAUUUUCUUUUUAUUUUCUGGAUUUCCAUUUCAAUUUUGAAUUUUAUGUUGUUUCUUCUAUUUGAUUCUUGUUAGAUUCAGCCAUUGACAUAUUUAAGUAUGAAUGGGGGCUUUAGUUGUUUGAGAUUCUUUUGUGCUUGUUUUCUUCGGCUGCGUCAAGUUAUUUACUUGAACUUACAAACGAAGAGUUUACGAUGAACAUCUUAGGAUUUAGAUAACACAAGUGAAUAACCUAGUCUAGAGUAUAUUCUUGUUUGUUUUUAUGAAAAAUAUGUGACUUUGACUACUUAAGUGCUUGCAUGUGUGAAACCAAUAUGAACAGCUCAGUCAUGAAAGUCCUUCCAGGUUCAUCAACUCCAUUGAAUUCUAUCCUGCAAUAUAGCCAGAACGUAUUGGACCAGUUCUUGAGCAAGAUUCCUGGAGCUUGCAACAUCAAAGUUGGAUUCCCUGUCUCUAAACGUGUCAACUGUGAUGCGAUUCACUUAGAUUUCUUACAGUGGAUCGAGGUUAAGCAGUGACCGAGGAGUUUCUAGGAGAGAAGAAAUUUACAACUAGUUGAAUGAACACUUUAAGGCAAUGCAGGCAAUGCAUGUGGUCUGUAGCCAGACCCUACUUUGUACCUCAAUAAUCAUGCCAUUUGAUACCAUAACAAGUUGGCUUUUUAGAUUCAGAUUUCAUGCUUUUCAUUUCUUCUUCUGCCUCCUCUUAUGAUCUUGUUAUGUGCUGAACUUCAAAUUUUGACAUAUUGCAAGGCAUGCAUUGCAGUGUUGUGCUAUAAUAUAACUAGAUCAAACCAAAAAUAUACUGACGUUCUUAUAGUUCCAUUCUGCUCUUCAGAUCCAGCUAUCUGCCAUAGCCCUAAAGACCAAGCCCAAUGACAGCCACAAUUGUCCAUUUAUUACUGACAUCAAAAGAACUGCUGACAUUUGCAGACCAGCCCACAAUUCAAUAGCUUCGAAACCCACAAUGAUGUUUGGAAAAAUUAAGUUA